CGUUGAAACACCAGUGCCCGUAUGAUUACCGAAGUUAAGCAACUUCGAGCCUCGUAAGUACAUAGAUGGGUUACCACUUGGAAGUACCAGGUGCUGUAAG